rnacentral:tRNA from 1 species
GGUUAUAGCUUAGUUUGUAGAGUGCUUGCCUAGCAUGCACGAGGCCCUGGGUUCAAUCCCCAGCACCA